UCUCCAUGGAGAUCAGGUUGCUCCAAGCCCAUCCAACGUCCUUCCAGUGCUGUUCUACCAACCCACAACUGGAAUUCCCCUCUUUAUCCGUGGGAAAAUUGCUCAUUCCAAGUGCAAGGAUGAUAAUUCCCCUCUUCAGGCAGAGUUUUCCCUCAAACCAUUGGAUUCUGGGCAGCAAUGUUGAAAAACUUGGAUCUGCUGUGGAUUUCUUCCAGCUUUGGGGUGACCUCACUGUGUUUUUCCAAGACCUGAAGGAGGCGACAGGAAAGAUGGAGAGGGAAUAUUUCCAAGGAAUUGUCCAAGGCCAGGCUGGAACAACCUGGGAUAGUGGAAGCUGUUCCUGCCCAUGGAAUGGGAUGAUUACAUUCCCUUCCAUCCCAACUCAUUCCAUGAUUCCACGACCUUGGAGCUGGACCCCCUUGCACAGAAUGCAAACACCGGGAAUGUGCUAAGCUAUUCCAGAGGAGACGACACACGCACCCCAAAUCCCCCUUCCCAAGUAGAAAUUCCUCAUUAUCUCCUGGUUGGAUUUGCAAAUCUGGAAAAAAAAAAAACAAACAAGGAAUAUCGGAAAGGACGAAAGUCUCCAGCGUGAGGAGCAGUGCCAGGAAUUCCUUCCUUCCGAAGGCAGUUGUGGAUGCAAACCACCGGCAGCAGCUCAUUCCUAGCAAUAACAGCUAUGUCAUAUUUCCUGGAACACGGGCAGUGCGGAAUAUCAUCGGAAAAGGAAAAUAAACACGGCUUCGCUCCGUGAAUCACCGGCCAUAAAUUCUCACCGAGGAAAAAAAACAACUCACACAACUGAGGGAGCCUUCAGGCAGCAGCAGAAGGGUUUGCUGAUCCCUCAGUAAUGUCCCACUGGAGUUAAUAUCCCGCUUUUCCAAGCUGGGACAAAGCUACGGCUGGAUAAAACAAAGACAAACCACAUCCUCCUCCGCUUUCUGAAGUGGGAUGAAGUCCGACAUUCAAUCUGUUUUUUCUGGGUUUAAAACUCACUUUAAUGGGUCCUUUUUCUUUUUCUCCCUCUUUUUUUAUUUUUUUCCCCCUUUUUUUUAAGGUUGCUUGCCUUGGAAGGGAGAUGGCAACUCCCCCAAAAUCCCAUAAAGGUGCUGCUCCUGGUGGCCAAAAAUUCCAUUAAUUUCUUCUAAAAAUAUUAAGGAUUGAGUCUCAAUGGGUGAAAAUAAACUGAGCCCAGGAGAAGCUCUGCUGAGCUCUGUUCCCAAAGCCUCCAAACACACAGGGAGCAGCAUCCCCAAAUUCCUGUGGGAUUCGGGGAAGAAAUACGGAAUGGUUUGGGUUGGAAGGGAUCUUAAAGAUUAACUC